AUUGAACGCUGGCGGCAUGCCUUACACAUGCAAGUCGAACGGUAACAGGGAGCUUGCUCCGCUGACGAGUGGCGAACGGGUGAGUAAUGUAUCGGAACGUACCUUUUAGUGGGGGAUAACGUAGCGAAAGUUACGCUAAUACCGCAUAUUCUCUGAGGAGGAAAGCAGGGGACCUUCGGGCCUUGCGCUAAUAGAGCGGCUGAUAUCAGAUUAGCUAGUUGGUGAGGUAAAGGGUCACCAAGGCGACGAUCUGUAGCGGGUCUGAGAGGAUGCUCGGCCAAACUGGAACGGAGAAACGGUCCAGACUCCUACGGGAGGCGGCAGUGGGGAAUUUUGGACAAUGGGGGCAACCCUGAUCCAGCCAUGCCGCGUGAGUGAAGAAGGCCUUCGGGUUGUAAAGCUCUUUCGGCCGGGAAAAAAUCGCAUGGGUUAAUACCCUGUGUGGAUGAUGGUACCGGAAUAAGAAGCACCGGCUAACUACGUGCCAGCAGCCGCCGUAAUAC
rnacentral:rRNA from 1 species